ensembl:miRNA predicted gene, 27554
AUUGGUCCAUCUGUUGGUGGGCAUCUAGACUGGUUCUAUAUCAUGGCUAUUAUGAAUAGUGCCAUGAUAAACAUGGAUGCGCAAGUGUUUCUGUAGUG